rnacentral:rRNA from 3 species
UUUGACCUCGGAUCAGGUAGGGAUACCCGCUGAACUUA